GACGAACGCUGGCGGCGUGCUUAACACAUGCAAGUCGAACGAAGAGCGAUGGAAGCUUGCUUCUAUCAAUCUUAGUGGCGAACGGGUGAGUAACGCGUAAUCAACCUGCCCUUCAGAGGGGGACAACAGUUGGAAACGACUGCUAAUACCGCAUACGAUCUAAUCUCGGCAUCGAGGAUAGAUGAAAGGUGGCCUCUACAUGUAAGCUAUCACUGAAGGAGGGGAUUGCGUCUGAUUAGCUAGUUGGAGGGGUAACGGCCCACCAAGGCGAUGAUCAGUAGCCGGUCUGAGAGGAUGAACGGCCACAAUGGGACUGAGACACGGCCCAGACUCCUACGGGAGGCAGCAGUGGGGAAUCUUCCGCAAUGGACGAAAGUCUGACGGAGCAACGCCGCGUGAGUGAUGACGGCCUUCGGGUUGUAAAGCUCUGUUAAUCGGGACGAAAGGCCUUCUUGCGAACAGUUAGAAGGAUUGACGGUACCGGAAUAGAAAGCCACGGCUAACUACGU
rnacentral:rRNA from 1 species